UUUUUUUUUUUGGGUGAAUAAUUCGUUACAAGUUUCGCUUGUGAACAGCGGAGGGAUCAUUUACAGAACUGGUAUUUUCAGGCCCUUUGGCGAAAAAGUCCCCUUUAGAUUUCGGCGGGCCGCCCCCCGAGGGCCUCGCGGUGCCCGCCGGAGUGGAAUCUUGCUAUUAGAUUGACGUCUGAGUAACCACCACAAUAAAGUUAAAACUUUCUAGCAACGGGAUCUCUUGGUUCUGGCCUCGAUGAAGAACGCAGCGAAAUGCCGAUAAGUAAUGUGAAUUGCAGAAUUCAGUGAAUCAUCGAAUCUUUGGAACGCACAUUGCGCCCGCCGGUAAUCCGACGGGCAUGCCUGUCCCGAGCGUCAUUUCACCACUCGAGCCCCGCUCGGUGAUGGGCGGCGCGGUCGCCCCGGCGCCGCCCCCCCGAAAUUCAUUGUCCCGGCCGCCGGCCACGCAACCUCGCGAAGCAGAAACGCAGUGCGAAGUGUCGCGGGUCUGGCUACGCCGGCGAUAAUGCCAUCUUCUGGUUGACCUCGGAUCAGGUAGGAAUACCCGCUGAACUUAAGCAUAUCAAUAAGCGGAGGAAAAGAAACCAACAGGGAUUGCCCCAGUAACGGCGAGUGAAGCGGCAACAGCUCAGAUUUGAAAUCCGGCGCUCGCGCCCGAGUUGUAAUCUGGAGAGGAAGCCUCUGGCAACGCGCCGCCCGAGUUCCCUGGAACGGGACGCCUUAGAGGGUGAGAGCCCCGUAAGGGACGGCGCCUAGCCUCUGUGAGGCUCUUUUCUACGAGUCGAGUAGUUUUGGGGAAUGCUGCCUCUAAAUGGGGAGGGUAAAUUUCCUUCUAAAGCUAAAUACCGGGCCAGAGACCGGAUAGCGCACAAAGUAGAGUGAUCGGAAAGAUGAAAAGCACUUUUGGAAAAGAGGGUGAAAACAGUACGUGAAAAUUGCUGAAAGGGAAGCGCUUGUGACCCAGACUCGCGCCCGGGCGGAUCACCCAGCCUCGGCUGGGUGCACUCCGCCGGGCCCGGGCCAUGCACCGGGUCCAUGCCCGGGGGAGAAAGGACGGCGGGAACGUGCCCCUUACGGGGUGUUAUAGCCCGACCGUGUAAUGCCCUGGGCAUGGACCGAUGCACCGCGCUCUGCAAGGCUGCGGGAAUCGUUUCAGGCCUUUUAAAGAAAAAAAAU
rnacentral:rRNA from 1 species